rnacentral:misc_RNA from 1 species
GAUGAAGAACGCAGCGAAAUGCGAUAAGUAAUGCGAAUUGCAGAAUCCGUGAGUCAUCGAAUCUUUGAACGCAUAUUGCGCCCCUUGGUAUUCCGAGGGGCAUGCCUGUUCGAGCGUCAUUAUAACCCCUCAAGCUCAGCUUGGUGUUGGGGCCUGCUGCACUGGCAGCCCUUAAAAUCAGUGGCGGCGCCGUCUGGCUCUAAGCGUAGUAAUUCUUCUCGCUAUGGAGUCCUGGUGGAUGCUUGCCAUCAACCCCCAAUUUUUCUAUGGUUGACCUCGGAUCAGGUAGGGAUACCCGCUGAACUUAAGCAUAUCAAUAAGCGGAGGA